rnacentral:pre_miRNA from 1 species
AAAGUACUUCCUCCGUCCCAAAAUUCUUGUCUUAGAUUUGUCUAGAUACGGAUGUAUCNUAGAUACGGAUGUAUCAAGUCACAUUUUAGUAUUAGAUACAUCCGUAUCUAGACAAAUCUAAGACAAGAAAUUUGGGACAGAGGGAGUAGUUG